GGAAACGUGCCCGAAAAUUAAGGAUCUCCUUGAUAGGGAGAAUAAUAGGGGUUCAAACCCCCUCGCUUCCU
rnacentral:tRNA from 1 species